rnacentral:misc_RNA from 1 species
UCUCACACACGUGCACACGUCGAACCCGCCUUAACCACUUUACCCAACAGCACGCACGUUGGCGGCGCUUCGUCGACGAGUUCAUGCGUAUGUGAGUGUUUCCGCUCCCGCCUCUCUCUCCCUCUCUCGCACGUUUUACCGAUCUUGCUCCCUGAAAAUCGUACAGUAGAAUACAUGAUCACACGCGAGUCUCUGGCGUUGACAUCGUCGUUGCUCUUUUCCUUCAUUCGUACCUUGCGGGUCAUCUCUGUGGGUUCGCGCCUCGGCCCGUUUCCGAAUUUCAUCAGCGAUACGGCGUGUGGCACGUUACCGACAUUGCUUUUUGGCGACACGUCGGCCGUGAGAAGCCGAAAAAGCGCAAACAACCGCACACAAACAGACACUCACGUGCCAGUUGUGCUCGACGUUCGUUUCGGCUUUUAAAAGUCGCUAAGAGGCGAUCUGGAGAAAAGUACUGUCGCCCUUCCCGCCUGUCUUCUUCUCUCCCCUCUCCUUGCCCCGUUUGUGGCGCUCACUGCCGUCUCACAGCUCCGCCGCGAGCCGCAUCAUCUUUUCCCACAACAACUCCUUCCUUCGCUUUCACUGACCGGUGGGAAACUUGCCUGCCUCACCGCCUCCCGUUGCACUCACGCUUUUGUUGGCGUCUUUUAUGCGCUUUGCCCACACACCCCCGCCCCGCUCUGUGUGCGUGUGCGUCUAUCUUGUUUUCCGCUUCCUUUCGAUUGGGAGGCCCGAGAGGUUCCCAACUUCACUGUGCGCCGCACGUGGUGUUGCCGUCGGGUUCCAUUGUAGCUACAUUCCCCCCCCCCUCCCGAAAAAAAAAAACAAAGAAACCCAUCUGGUUCUUCUCGUGCAUCCGCUGCGUUUUCCCUUCAGGAGCUUUCCUUUGUUGUCUCGCUGCUUGUUGUCCCUGUGACUGACUCCUUCCUCCCUUUGUGGAGGGACUCCUUCGACGCUAUUGGAAAGAGACGUGAGCGCACGUCGAUCGAGGACGAGCGUAUUGUGUGAGUGUUUAGUUUGCGUGACCGCACGUCGUAUCUCUGUCAGCUGUUUCGCUCAUUGAAGACGAAUGUGCUGCGACCACCCGCCACGCAAGCGCAACUGGAGGUUGUACUACCUUCUUGACCUCAUUUCACCGACGACGUCGCGGCAGGUUAAGUGGAACUUCCGCAAGAUCACGCUACGACACCAUUAUUAUCAGGCCUAUCUUGUUCUGUACAACCGCAGUCGUAAGUACCUGUACGACUCCAUCGGUGAAGAUGCGUACGGCUUCCUCGCCAGCGGAACGUGGGGGCCGUUUGUCCCUCUCUUGGGAGCUGUCGGCUCCGUGAUUGUAUACUCGCUCGUGCUCUUAGUAGAGGUGGCGCUGCUGCUUCUCUUUUUCGUCUUGCUCGCAGCAAACGACGGUAACUACAUCUCGUUGAGCUGGGCGAUGAUUAUGCUGCCGCUCAUGAUCUUCGCGGCGAUCAUGCUGGUGGUCGCCGCCGCUGCCGUCGCGAUCAACAUAUUGACGCCGAGGACGUACCAGGAGGGGAUGUCUAUGAUAGAUCGCCUCUCCCCCGUCGGGAACUGCCUCGCCGCUCUGAGUUACUUCUGCAUUCCGUUUGUGCUGUACACCCAGAUCCGGAGCGAUCCUGCGUCGAAGGUGGGGCUGUACCUGACGUACAUGUCUAUGCCCAUCGCGGGUGACAUACUGUACUACACCACCUCACUCAUCUGGCGCUGGCCGCGGCGGGUGCGGUUGCAGAUGGAGGUGGGCACCAACCGCCCGAGCCCGGUGAUAUACAACGGCAUUUUUGCCAUGGGCUUCUUGAACAUGGCCUGCGGCGUCGCGCAAUGGGUACUCCUUGGCUACAAGUUGGAUGGGCGAAUGAGCCGCUCGUGGUACGUUAUCUUUAUCCCGUUUUGCUUCCGCGCUGGCCUGCGCGUGGUGGAGGCGUGCCUGCGCAGCAUGAUGAAGUACACCAUCGGCGUCCGCUCCGAGAUCGGUGUCGCGUUCGACACCGUCGGCUCCUUCUUCUCGAACGGCAUGCUGCUCACUUCACUCUACUUCGUCGCCGCGCGCAUCCACCGCGGCCGCGAGAGAGUUCGCCUAGCGUGUGCGUUGAUACCUGUCUACCUCACCCUUCUCUGGAUCUUCCUCUGCCUAAUGGUGACGAUGGUCCUACUGCUCAUCUUCUACCGCCGCCGCAGUCGUGAGGAGCGCCGUGUGAACAGGCAGUGGACACCUCCUCAGGACAAGUACGAGGAGGCAGCCAAGGUGCUGGGCGGCACUGACACCUCCGACUCCGGUCCCGCGCGCGUCUUUAAGGCAUCGGAGCACGGCUGGGAUGAUGUGGAUUCCGUCUCCACGACGUUUGCCACCUUCCCGGCCGACGUGGACGACCACGGCGGCAACGAGGAGUACGAGGAUUUCGAGACGGACGAGGAGCACCCGGUGCUCCCACAGGGGACGCCGCGGCGGUCGCAGGUGCCCUACGGCAGCCCCCGCGAUCACGUCAGCGAGGCCGCCGAUGCCGACAGAACACCCAUCAGUGACCAGGGCAGCUCAUGGAGGUACAGGGCCUCGCGGCACGCGAACAGGGCGGUCCGACGUGGCGUGAGUGGCUUGUCGAGCCGCCGCGGCAGUCCGGAACGCUAUACGCCGGAGGAGGCAUCCGGCGUGACGGCCACCGCUGCAUCGGACGAGGAUGACUACACGGAGGUUACAACGUACAUGAACGAGGGGACAACAGUGUCGCGCAAAGGGGGGGACUUUACGCGGUCGAGUAGCUACAGCUACACGGCCCAGACGACGUACGUAGAUGAAGAGACGGAUUACACAGGUGAGAGUCAGACCACCUAUCACACUCGCAGCAGCUCCUACUCAUCUCUAUCCUCUGCCUCCUCGAUCGGCAACUUCGCCGCAUCUGCAGACAGGAGCGCGGAGAGGAAGAGGUAGGUGAGGAUUGUGUGGGGUUGUUCAGGGCUCUCUCUCUUGCUUCGUACGCCAGUGUCACUGCCUCACGUACCUCUCCACCUUGGCAGCUCGCUCCUCGGUCGUCGCCGGUGGCGCUCUCAUUCCCCGCUUGCUGUGUGCAUACAAGCAGAGCACGUGCACACACACACACACACGCACGCACGCACAUGCACAAAUCGAGGCAUGUUAGCGGAAUGCCUAACACCCAGAAGAACACAUAGUUUUUUGUUGUUUUGCUGUUGUUUGUAUGUUUACUUCUUCCGUCGCUUCUUCAUACGUGCAUCUCUCUCUAUAUGUGUAUUUGCGUGCAUCGUCUCUCCGCUGGUCUUUCUCCUUUCCCACACCACCAUUAGCUUUUUUUUCUUUGCUUACUAACUAGACUACGACGGCGUGACCAUGUGUGUCUGCGCUCGCUGUUUGAUUCUUUGGCCAUUCUCUGGUUGUUAAGGUUUCUGCCCCCCCCUCCCCAUUUCAUUGUAAUUAGAGAUGUGCGCGCGCUUCUUCUUGCCUUUGUUUUUUUUCCCGUGUUCAGGUGCUCUGCGUCUUUUCUGCGGUCAUGUUUCAUGUUCUGGUCGGUUCCUCAUCGUAUACAGUCCAGAGGAAAAAAAAAGAACAGGCGAUACUUGGCCAUAUGGGCACAAACCUCAGGCCUGCUGGAGCGCGUGUCGGUGUCGUGUUGGCGUCUGUCUGUAUCUCUCUCUACACUUUUAUUUGACAACGUCUUGAUAUGUGUGUAUUUGUGUUCGUUCGCUGUCGACUGUGGAUGCGUUUUCGUCUUUCCUCGUGUUCGUGUUGCUGCGUCUACUCCUAUUUUCGUUGGGAGAGUGAGCGUGCGCGCUGACCGUGCCGCGUCACAGCGAGACUUCACGGUACACCUGUGUGUGCGCCAGCGCGAUGGCGGAGAUGGCUUCAAAUGCUCACACUGUGCGUGCAUGUGUAUGUAUGUGUACUAGUGGCAGGCGGAGUUUGGCUUUGGAAGGUGAAUGUCAUUGGUUAUACUCCACCACCCGUGUUUAUCGACCCUCUCUCUGUGUCGCCACUGCGUGUGUGCGUGCGUGUGUACCGCAUCAUUGUUCCUCUUGUGGCCCAUGCUGACUUUGCCCAGCUUGUUCUCUCGACGCAGGCCAAUGUGCCCCGGUCUUCUUCGUCUGUAGAGUCUUGUGAGGGAUGCAACAAGCAACCUAUAGAUAC